UGUCACCUCAUCUAAUAUAGAUCAUCAAGAUAGGUUGAAAGGGGAGUUCGUAGUCAUCUCUUCUAAUCAGGAGAUCCCUGAAAGCCGAACAUUUAAAUGUUCUCUUCUUGAAAUAAAAAUACCAUAGUUUUAGUUAGGAAUGUGCUAUGUUGAAAAUAACAGAAAAACUGACCUCUGUGGCUUAAACAAGUAAGGAUUUAUUUUCCUUCCGUAGCUGGAGGAAGGGAGGUGCAGCUUUGGCUCAGCUCUUAACAGUGCAACAUCUAGUGCCUCUAUAGUUCUCUUGGACACAGAUGGCUGCUUUCGAAGAAGAAAGAAGUGGAAAGUGAUGGAGUUUCUAUGCUCCAGCUCUCUUUGCCUGCUGCCAUCCACGUAAGAUGUGACUUGCUCCUCUUUGCCUUCUGCCAUAAUUGUGAGCCCCCCUCAGCCAUGUGGAAUGAUGGAAAACAGAACAAGCCAUGGAGGCCCCAGGGAUCAGGCAGGGCCAAGAGGAUCUGAUGGCGGAAGGGGGAGCACAUCAACAAGACCUUACAAGGCAACUUGCAUGGAUGCUCUGAAGCAACUUUGAGGUCUCCUUGAUGAGGAAAGUUGGCUCAACCUGCUGUAGAGUAGGCCCACAGCCAAGCCAUUGAGAGACAAGUCCAUGGGAGACAAAUUAGCUCAUGCAGCUGAGAUGUCCUGGAGAUUUUCCACAGCACCACUUGGCCAGUGCCUAGACAAGAGUUCUACCUGUGACAAGAAAUGAUAAUCAAAUCAGCUGGGCAUUAUCAAGCAAAAUGAUGAAAAUGUAUUUUAAUGUAAAACAUACCAGGCUAUUCUUUGGUAUGACACCUGACGGGAAGCUUGGAUCAGGUUGAGUAUGGCAGAAAGUCUCAUGCAUCAUUCCUGUGCCUAAGUGACAAUCUCAGUUGAGACCUUCAGGUUUUCCCACCUUAUCUAUCUCAACGACUGGGUUCCUUUCCACUUUGCCAUUCCUCAUCCCUCCACUGACUGCCAUAUUGAUUUUUCAAAAUGUAAAUAUAAUUAUGUCACUCAUCUUCCAAAAGUUCUUAAGUAAUUGCUUAUAACCCACAAUAUGAUAGAAAAACUGAGAGUGGUGUAGAGGAUCCUUUAGGCCUUGGGCCUGCCUACCUGCUCAGCAUUAUCUGCUCUACCCUCAUUAACCCCCUCUGCACUGGCUAUACUGAGAAAUUUGGUAUCCCCCAAAGUUAUCAUGACAUGCUGCCCUUUUGGCUGGCCAGCUCUUGCUACCUGCUGCAAGAGAACAGCUACUCUCCCUUCAAGUCCAAAUGUUAUCUAUCCUGUUG
rnacentral:lncRNA from 10 species